CACGUAGGGGGCAAGCGUUGUCCGGAAUCAUUGGGCGUAAAGAGCUCGUAGGCGGCUCAGUAAGUCGGGUGUGAAACCCCCAGGCUCAACCUGGGGACGCCACCCGAUACUGCUGUGGCUAGAGUCCAGUAGGGGAGUGUGGAAUUCCCGGUGUAGCGGUGAAAUGCGCAGAUAUCGGGAGGAACACCGGUGGCGAAGGCGGCGAUCUGGGUCGAUACUGACGCUGAGGUGCGAAAGCGUGGGGAGCAAACAGG
rnacentral:rRNA from 1 species